rnacentral:rRNA from 1 species
CCUGGCUUAGGACGAACGCUGGCGGCGUGUUAACACAUGCAAGUCGAACGAAGCAACUAUCUUGCUUGCAAGAGAGUUGACUUAGUGGCGGACGGGUGAGUAACGCGUGGGUAACCUGCCUCAUACAGGGGGAUAACAGUUGGAAACGACUGCUAAGACCGCAUAACCCGCUAGUGUCGCAUGACACGGACGGAAAAUAUUUAUAGGUAUGAGAUGGGCCCGCGUCUGAUUAGCUAGUUGGUAAGGUAACGGCUUACCAAGGCGACGAUCAGUAGCCGACUUGAGAGAGUGAUCGGCCACAUUGGGACUGAGACACGGCCCAAACUCCUACGGGAGGCAGCAGUGGGGAAUAUUGGACAAUGGGGGAAACCCUGAUCCAGCCGACGCCGCGUGAGUGAAGAAGUAUUUCGGUAUGUAAAGCUCUAUCAGCAGGGAAGAUAAUGACAGUACCUGACUAAGAAGCCCCGGCUAACUACGUGCCAGCAGCUGC